rnacentral:rRNA from 1 species
AGUGAGCGGCAAAAGCUCAAAUUUGAAAUCUGGUACCUUCGGUGCCCGAGUUGUAAUUUGGAGAGGGCAACUUUGGGGCCGUUCCUUGUCUAUGUUCCUUGGAACAGGACGUCAUAGAGGGUGAGAAUCCCGUGUGGCGAGGAGUGCGGUUCUUUGUAAAGUGCCUUCGAAGAGUCGAGUUGUUUGGGAAUGCAGCUCUAAGUGGGUGGUAAAUUCCAUCUAAAGCUAAAUAUUGGCGAGAGACCGAUAGCGAACAAGUACAGUGAUGGAAAGAUGAAAAGAACUUUGAAAAGAGAGUGAAAAAGUACGUGAAAUUGUUGAAAGGGAAGGGCAUUUGAUCAGACAUGGUGUUUUGUGCCCUCUGCUCCUUGUGGGUAGGGGAAUCUCGCAUUUCACUGGGCCAGCAUCAGUUUUGGUGGCAGGAUAAAUCCAUAGGAAUGUAGCUUGCCUCGGUAAGUAUUAUUGCCUGUGGGAAUACUGCCAGCUGGGACUGAGGACUGCGACGUAAGUCAAGGAUGCUGGCAUAAUGGUUAUAUGCCGC